GCCUCGCGAGAUAGAACAGUUCUCUCAGUCAGAACCACGGAGGAGCGUCCGUCAGCUCGAUGGGUGGGGCCGAUCGCCGCGCGCGCCUUUGGCCUUUGGGCUGCGCACGCGCAGGGGGCCCAGGCCGUAGGGCUCGCUCCCGAAGGUCCUCGGGGUGGAAACUCGAGGUUUGGCGUGUCUCAUAAGUGCCGUUUCUGAGCUGGAAGCUACGCCUGCCUCAUGAGUAAUUUGUGCGUGAUGCUCCAGGCCCAUGACAAGGCCAGGCCGCGCGACGAGCGCGAACAACAGUUGGAACAUGAGGGCGAGAAGCCACUUGUCUUCUAGUGAGAUGGACAGAAAACGCAUUGGCAGAAGCGUAAAACAGUGCCCCUCUUCCCACUUUUUGUUUGUUUUGAAAGGUAGUUACUUGUUAAUAAAAAUAUGUUAACGUGA